rnacentral:tRNA from 1 species
AGCAGGGUGGCCUAACGGACAGAGCAUGGGCCUGAAAGUCAGAAGGUCCUGGAUUCUAAUCCCAGCUCUGCUG